AUUUUAUUGCCUAUUGCCAAGGCUAUUCAAGUGUAACGGUGGAGAUGCAAAAGGCAGCUACUGUUCAUUAAGGGCGGUUACUGUUCACAUGGUGGAUUGAAUAGUGAAUAGUCUGGGGGGAGGGCUCCCACGCUGGAGUUGCUCUAAAGGUAACAACCUAGGUACUGAAUGACCCAUCAAUGUUGGCUAGCAACAACUAUAGUGAAAGUGUGUGUAUCACAACUCAAUCAAUUGCAUUUGUUACGGAUAUAGUAAUGAUUAUAAAAAUUACAACCUAGACACUAAAGGUACGUUUGUUGCACCGAACUAUCUUGAACUAGACUAGCUUUAAGAACUAAGCUGGACUAGCUUAGCUUAGACUAAGCAGGAUAAAAAUAGUUAAGUAUUUGAUGCAAGGCCUAACUAGUCCUGGAUUAAAAUAUUUUUUUGGCUCAAAAAAUUAAUUUCAAUUUUUUUUUUUUACGUUUUUUACUUCUCUCUCCAUCUAUUGCACCACUCACUCAACAAACAAAUAAAUAAAAGAAAAAUAAUCAAUAAAGUGAAAGAAAUGGUUGUAAAUAUGUAUUUCUCAUUGUGGUUUUUUUCUUCAAGGCAUUAACCAGUGGUCAAGAUGAAGUGGAGUGACAUUAAAAAGAGACAAGAACAAGCGCACCCCAGUUCUUCCUUCCUAACCCACACAUUCAUCGCCGAACAUCAGGUCAUGAAUAUUAAGAAAGUGCAACGAAAGGUGAUAUACAUUCAUGCCCCCAUGGAUUGUCUUGUCUGGAUUUAUUUCUCUACCAUAAUCUCCAAGAAAAUAGUCCACAAGCUUUGGGCUGUGCGCUCAACACUGGAUGGAACAAUUCAAGUAUUUUCAAGGUUCUGUAAUCCUGUCAAUCCUGAAGAACCUGUUUCGUAAGAGCUUCCCCAAAAUGAAUGGAUGACGUUAAAAUUUGCGAUGGUAGAAUGUUACGCGGCCAUUUAACCUUUUUUCCCUUCCCUGCACUAAAGGAAUCUGACAACCCAUAAACUUGCAACUCAACCGUAUCUGCACAAAAUCAUACAUAAAAUUACAUAUAUCAGAUAUUGUGCACCAAAAUGACAGAAACCAAAAUAUGAGAAGACAAGAAAAAUAGUACUUAAAUUGAGAAACAUGAAACAGAUUCUGAGGUUUACAGUGUAGCAGACGAUUGAUGAGUAUGAAUUAACAAAUGUAUCAUAUCAAUCUGCCACUUACCUCAUCUAUAAGAGAAAUGCAUACACAACAAAAUAGAACAUCAAUUUAAGAUGUGGAUGACAAACAAAUCCCUCAAUAAUCAGAAUCGGAAUAUAUAUUUUACAUGUGAAAAAUUAGAGCGAAUUCAAACAAUACUAAGAAAACGAAACUAUGCGGCAACUCUUCAUGAUUACCCACCAACUGCUAAUUGACUCUGUAUCAUUUGUGCUUGUGUCUAAGGUACAUCAUGUAAGUUACCAACUACUUAAUUCAACAUCUCAGAAGAUUGAAUGUGAACAAAUAACUCUGGCCAAAUUCACCAUCAAUUUGUGUAAGUUAUUUAUUUAAUUUUUUUUGCAGGCUAUUGUAGAACUAAUGAACAACCUGAACCCGAACAAGUGGCCCAUAACCCCACUUGUGCAAUCAUUUUUUGAACCGUGUGAUUUUUAAGUUAAUUUCAGUAUCACUUGAGGGUGGAUAGGAAUAUGGUAAAUAACUUGAUCAUAACCCCACAUUUGCAGACCUUUUUUGAACCGUGUAGGGUUUAGAUUUUUAAGUUAAUUUUAGUAUCACUUGAGGGUGGAUAGGAAUACGGUAAACAGCUUCAUUCGAUACUAUAAUGCGGGUCAUGUAAUAUCAUUUUUGCAAGCAAAUGGCAAGCUUGUAUUAGUGGAGGUUCAUAUAAUAUCAUGUUUGCAAGCAAUUGGCAAGCUUGUAUUAGUGGAGGUUCAUAUAAUAUCAUGUUUACAAGCAAAUGGCAAGCUUAUAUUUGGUAGAAUGAGAAAGCAUGUGAAAUUAUUUUGUGGAUGCAAAUUUUUUCCUACUUAAUAUUGGACAAAAUUGCACCUAUAAAACAAUUAACACCUUAGGUCAAAGCUAAGAGCCUCACACGCCCACGAUGAAUGGGGGGUAGGGGACUUUGAUCGAAGAACCUCUGAUGCCAAAGUUAGAAUUUAAAGAGAAAAGUGUUUGGAGAGUUUUUGGGAGUUUUGCAAGAGUGUGGAACUAGGUUUUUAGAGAAAAUGGGGUUCAAUAUAUAGAGCAUGGCCGGCCCUCUUGGGAGAGAGAGUGGCCUGCCUUUUGGGUAAUUUUUUAGUGUAAUGGGUGAUUUUUUUGGCAAUUAAUGGAUUAAUUAGGUAAUUAAUCCAUUAAUUGGCCAAUUAACUCAAUUUAUAUGGAAUGUUUUGAAGGUUAUGGAAUAAUUACCUUGUAGAGAAUAUAAGAUGAGGACGGAUGAAAUAAUUUUGAAUUUGUUACCUUUUUGGGGCACUUUUGACUUGAUUGAGGGAUGAUUGUCAACUGCUCCCGCGUAGGAAAUCCGAUGUGCCUCAAGGGUAAUUUUGUCAUUUUUACCCAAAAAUCCAUGUGUCGCCUUGUGAUUAUUUUUUGCUCCAGAAAUGCUCCCACACCUGUUGGGCUGCUUGCAGGAAAGGGCGGCAGAUGUAGAGAUCUUCUUGCUUUAGGAAACAUAUGAUUGCUUCCUAUUUUGAUGUAAAUUCCCUCUUUAAUUGGAAAUUAGAUCAUUCUAGGAAAGGGAAAUAAAUUUCUUUCAAAGCCUAUUUAAGUCCAUCUUAAGUGGGUUAUUAAAUCAACUUUGCAGAGCAAUUUAUUCUACCCUACAAGAGAGAGAGAGCUUAGAGGAUAUUUCUUCCCCCUCAUCUAGCAAUCUUCUACAUCUUGUCUGUGCAAAUGAUCGUCUUUCGUUGCUUUCUUCGUCUUCUC
rnacentral:lncRNA from 1 species